AUUAAACGCUGGCGGCAUGCCUUACACAUGCAAGUCGAACGGCAGCACGGGGGCAACCCUGGUGGCGAGUGGCGGACGGGUGAGUAAAGCAUCGGAACGUAUCCUGGAGUGGGGGAUAACGUAGCGAAAGUUACGCUAAUACCGCAUAUUCUGUGAGCAGGAAAGCAGGGGAUCGCAAGACCUUGCGCUCUGGGAGCGGCCGAUGUCGGAUUAGCUAGUUGGUGGGGUAAAGGCCUACCAAGGCGACGAUCCGUAGCGGGUCUGAGAGGAUGAUCCGCCACACUGGGACUGAGACACGGCCCAGACUCCUACGGGAGGCAGCAGUGGGGAAUUUUGGACAAUGGGCGCAAGCCUGAUCCAGCAAUGCCGCGUGCAGGAUGAAGGCCUUCGGGUUGUAAACUGCUUUUGUACGGAACGAAACGGUGAGCUCUAAUAAAGCUUGCUAAUGACGGUACCGUAAGAAUAAGCACCGGCUAACUACGUG
rnacentral:rRNA from 1 species